rnacentral:rRNA from 1 species
UACAGGGGGGGCAAGCGUUGUUCGGAAUUACUGGGCGUAAAGGGUUCGUAGGUGGCCAACUAAGUCAGACGUGAAAUCCCUCAGCUUAACUGGGGAACUGCGUCUGAUACUGGAUGGCUUGAGUGCAGGAGAGGAAUGCGGAAUUCCAGGUGUAGCGGUGAAGUGCGUAGAUAUCUGGAGGAACACCGGUGGCGAAGGCGGCAUUCUGGACUGUAACUGACACUGAGGAACGAAAGCCAGGGGAGCAAACGGG